AACGAACGCUGGCGGCAGGCCUAACACAUGCAAGUCGAACGCUGUAGCAAUACAGAGUGGCAGACGGGUGAGUAACGCGUGGGAACCUUCCCAAUGGUACGGAAUAGCUCAGGGAAACUUGAGGUAAUACCGUAUAAGCCCCUAGGGGGAAAGAUUUAUCGCCAUUGGAUGGGCCCGCGUCGGAUUAGCUAGUUGGCAGGGUAAUGGCCUACCAAGGCAACGAUCCGUAGCUGGUUUGAGAGAAUGACCAGCCACACUGGGACUGAGACACGGCCCAGACUCCUACGGGAGGCAGCAGUGGGGAAUCUUGGACAAUGGGCGCAAGCCUGAUCCAGCCAUGCCGCGUGAGUGACGAAGGCCUUAGGGUUGUAAAGCUCUUUUGCCGGGGACGAUAAUGACGGUACCCGGAGAAUAAGUCCCGGCUAACUUCGUGCCAGCCGCCGCAGUAAGAC
rnacentral:rRNA from 1 species